ensembl:lncRNA
AUGCUAUGAAUAGCCAGAGGUCACAGCUCUGAAACGAGUUUGAUGAAGCCGCAUGCUGUCUCUGUCUCUGAAAAUCUCCCAAGAUUUCUCAGAAUAUCUGCCAGAGUUUGUUCUGAAACAGAGUUUGUUCUGAGAAGUUCUGAGAAAGAUGCAAGAACAGAGCAAGGACAAAACAACCGGAUGAUCCAUGUCUGACUGUUUUUUUGUUCUGGAUACAGAACAAGGUCAAAGGUCAGAGAUUUCCGCUUAAAAAGACUUAAAAACUACACCCACGGCAGACAGAAGACUUUUACACAGAAAGUGCAUUAUGAAGAUUCCCAGCUAAAAUCAUCGUCGAUCCAGAAACAAUGAAAUGUUGUGGCACUGAUACGCAAAAUGUCAAAUUAGCUGUUGAUGCAACAGAAAAAAAACUAAACAUCUUCUGAAGAAAAUAUUGAAAGGAAUUGAAGAUGAUACUGAGAAUUUCUUUCCAGACCAAAUUGACUGUUUUUAGUUUCAAAAAAUUGAAACCAUUUCUCGAUGCUUAGAGAGGACUAAUAGUUAUUAGAAGUAUAGUUUACAAUAAAUAGUAGAGAACUGGCCUUUAAAGGACUUGAACAAACACUGCCUGUGUGUUACUGGUGGAGCAGACCUAGUAAAAGACACAUACUGAGAAUCUUCUAGACUUUCCUCUCAUCCGUAUCAAUGUCCUGCAGAUGUGAGGAAGAACAGGACUGGACUCGAGUCACAUUACAGCUGCAAACAUCCCCAACACACUCUGGAUUGAUGUGCACUGGAGCUGUUUGUUUGUGGUGCAAUGCUUUCCCUCUCCACUGGGUGGCGUGUUGGUCGCAGUUGAAACCUGGCAGAAUCUCUGGGAUGGGGAUGUGAAGAGGAGGUACUUGAGUGCAGUUGGUGAUAUUAAUGCACCAAAAGCUGGUUUGCCAAAUGCUAUAAAACUCACUAAAGUGAAGAAGCCAAUAGCCUAAUGGCUCAGCUCAGCCUGGAGGAAAACCAAUGGAAAGAACAGUCACAUUACCAAAAAAAAUAUGCGUGAUGGUAGUGUUUGAGCCUGAAUGUCUGUAACAAAAAAAUAAAUAAAUCCUUACAGUUAAACA